rnacentral:rRNA from 1 species
AUUGAACGCUGGCGGCAGGCCUAACACAUGCAAGUCGAGCGAGAGGCGGACGGGUGAGUCAUGUAUGGGGACUGCCCGCUAGUGGGGGAUAACUACUGGCAACGGUGGCUAAUACCGCCUACUCUCGGAUAACCCAUAUGGGAUUAGCUAGUAGGUGGGGUAAAGGCGCACCUAGUAGAUGAUCUCUAGCUGGUCUGAGAUGAUGAUCAGCCACACUGGGACUGAGACACGGCCCAGACUCAAAGGGAGGCAGCAGUGGGGAAUAUUGCACAAGGGGCGCAAGCCUGAUGCAGCCAUGCCGAGUGUAUGAAGAAGGCCUUAGGGUUGUAAAGUACUUUCAGCGGGGAGGCGUUACCCGCAGAAGAAGCACCGGCUAACUCCGUGCCAGCCGCCGCGGUAAUUC